rnacentral:rRNA from 1 species
GAUGAACGCUGGCGGCGUGCUUAACACAUGCAAGUCGAACGUGAGAGAUAGCAAUAUCUCUGAAAGUGGCGAACGGGUGAGUAACACGUAGGGUAAUCUGCCUCGAAGCGGGGGAUAACCACGGGAAACUGUGGCUAAUACCGCAUAGUUCUAUGCGAUUGGCAUCGCAAUAGAUAAAGCUUUAGCACUUCGACGAGGAGCCUGCGCCCGAUUAGGUAGNGGUAGGUAAUGGCCUACCAAGCCUGUGAUCGGUAGCUGGUCUGAGAGGACGAUCAGCCACAUGGGAACUGAGA